rnacentral:rRNA from 1 species
UACAGAGGUCCCGAGCGUUGUUCGGAUUCACUGGGCGUAAAGGGUGCGUAGGUGGUGAGGUAAGUCGGAUGUGAAAUCUCGGAGCUUAACUCCGAAAUGGCAUUGGAAACUACCUCGCUCGAGGGUUGGAGGGGGGGACUGGAAAUGCUUGGUGUAGCAGUGAAAUGCGUAGAUAUCAAGCGGAACACCAGUGGCGAAGGCGAGUCCCUGGACAACUCCUGACACUGAGGCACGAAAGCUAGGGGAGCAAACAG